rnacentral:rRNA from 1 species
AUGGUUAAGUUAGAAAGGGCGCACGGUGGAUGCCUUGGCACUAGGAGCCGAAGAAGGACGGGACUAACACCGAUAUGCUUUGGGGAGCUGUACGUAAGCGUUGAUCCAGAGAUUUCCGAAUGGGGGAACCCACUAUCUUUAGUCGGAUAGUAUCCUUACGUGAAUACAUAGCGUAAGGAAGGCAGACCCAGGGAACUGAAACAUCUAAGUACCUGGAGGAAGAGAAAGAAAAAUCGAUUUCCUGAGUAGCGGCGAGCGAAACGGAAAGAGCCCAAACCAAGAAGCUUGCUUCUUGGGGUUGUAGGACACUCUAUACGGAGUUACAAAGGAAUGUGGUAAACGAAGUGGUCUGGAAAGGCCCGCCAAAGAAGGUAACAGCCCUGUAAUUGAAAGCAUAUUCCCUCCAGAGUGGAUCCUGAGUACGGCGGAACACGUGAAAUUCCGUCGGAAUCCGGGAGGACCAUCUCCCAAGGCUAAAUACUCCCUAGUGACCGAUAGUGAACCAGUACCGUGAGGGAAAGGUGAAAAGCACCCCGGAAGGGGAGUGAAACAGUUCCUGAAACCGUGUGCCUACAAGUAGUUAGAGCCCGUUAAUGGGUGAUAGCGUGCCUUUUGUAGAAUGAACCGGCGAGUUACGAUUUGUUGCAAGGUUAAGCGGAAAAAGCGGAGCCGUAGCGAAAGCGAGUCUGAAUAGGGCGCAUGAGUAACAGGUCGUAGACCCGAAACCAGGUGAUCUACCCAUGUCCAGGAUGAAGGUGAGGUAAUACUCACUGGAGGUCCGAACCCACGCACGUUGAAAAGUGCGGGGAUGAGGUGUGGGUAGCGGAGAAAUUCCAAUCGAACCUGGAGAUAGCUGGUUCUCUCCGAAAUAGCUUUAGGGCUAGCCUCGAGGUAAAGAGUCGUGGAGGUAGAGCACUGUUUGGACUAGGGGCCCUUCUCGGGUUACCGAAUUCAGAUAAACUCCGAAUGCCAUGUACUUAUACUCGGGAGUCAGACUGCGAGUGAUAAGAUCCGUAGUCGAAAGGGAAACAGCCCAGACCACCAGUUAAGGUCCCAAAAUAUAUGUUAAGUGGAAAAGGAUGUGGGGUUGCAUAGACAACCAGGAUGUUGGCUUAGAAGCAGCCACCAUUGAAAGAGUGCGUAAUAGCUCACUGGUCGAGUGACCCCGCGCCGAAAAUGUACCGGGGCUAAACAUAUUACCGAAACUGUGGAUGAACCUCUUCGGAGGUUCGUGGUAGGAGAGCGUUCUAAGGGCGGUGAAGUCAGACCGGAAGGACUGGUGGAGCGCUUAGAAGUGAGAAUGCCGGUAUGAGUAGCGAAAGAAGGGUGAGAAUCCCUUCCACCGAAUAUCUAAGGUUUCCUGAGGAAGGCUCGUCCGCUCAGGGUUAGUCGGGACCUAAGCUGAGGCCGAUAGGCGUAGGCGAUGGACAACAGGUAGAUAUUCCUGUACCAGUGCUAGUUGUUUGAGCAAUGGGGUGACACAGAAGGAUAGGGAAUCGCACAGAUGGAAA